UACGUAGGGUCCAAGCGUUAAUCGGAAUUACUGGGCGUAAAGCGUGUGCAGGCGGUUUCGAAAGUCCGAUGUGAAAUCCCCGGGCUUAACCUGGGAACUGCGUUGGAAACUACGAGGCUAGAGUGCGGCAGAGGGGGGUGGAAUUCCAGGUGUAGCAGUGAAAUGCGUAGAUAUCUGGAGGAACACCGAUGGCGAAGGCAGCCCCCUGGGUUAGCACUGACGCUCAUACACGAAAGCGUGGGGAGCAAACAGG
rnacentral:rRNA from 1 species